GGAAGGCAAGGGAGAGGGUGUUGGGAUGGAUAUUGAAUGAGCUAAUCUACAGAAUCUGCAACAUCAGGAUGCAACUGGGAGCUACUGCAGUAGAAAUGGGCGGAUUGCAGCGGAGAGGCUCAUCCUCAAAGUGGCCAAGGUAGCAAGAAUGGAAAGUCCUCAUGUGGCCUUCACAAUGUGCACUUCCUCUCAGCAUGGCUGACCUGAUUGCCUGGCUACCCCAACAGCCUGUCAGCAGCAGUGAGCAACCACAACUGUGUAAUGGCAACAGCACAAGAUACCAAAUCUGAAGAGGUUCCGUUUCCAAGUUCUGAUUCAUAAGAGCUUCCAAAGUAA